AGGUACCGAUUGAUGCUCGCCCGGCUGCCGUUGCUGCCCCAGCUUCAUGAAAGGCCAGAAGACCAGGCAAAUGAAAUGCCCUGGGGACAUAUGUCCAGUCUGCGGGACUGAGCAGAGGAGGCUAGAUUGCUACUGAGACUCAGGUCUUGCUGUUUUCAAUUCAGUCUCGCUGCCGUGAUUCCCUUCCCGGCAAAUGGGCCUCAGUUUACCGUGGUGUGCAAUCACCAAAUAUAAUAAGCAAUUACCCCCUACCCCCAGGAUUAUCCCAGCCUCUGUGACCGCAAAAGCACCUUCUCCGUGAGGGUCAGAUACGGAGGGAGAAGAUAUUGCGAAAACGAAUGGGAGGCAGACCGUGAAGCAGCAGGCAGAGAGGACAGGUUUAAUAACAAAGAAAAUGAUGCUCAACAUGAGUCUGAUAUGUGGAGGCAUCAUUGUGCUUCUUUGGGGAAUUUUUGGAUUUCCUAGAAAAUUUGGAAAAGCAAAGGUUGUUAGUGACCAGAAAUGCUCAGAAGAUGCAACUGUAUGCCCACAAGACUGGAAGAGAAUCAAUAAAAAUUGCUUCUUCCUAUCUGAACGUGAAGCCACCUGGGCCAACAGCCAGGCAGACUGCAUGAUCCAGUGUGGAACUCUGGCUAUAAUCCACCUCAGGAAUGAUUUGGUUCCAUAUUGAAGAAGGAGGAGAUUGUGCCUUCAUGUACAAGAAAGGCAUCAGUAGUGCCAACUGUAGUGAUGCAAGAAAAUACAUUUGCAGCAGAAAAGGCAUUUGUACUUAGAGUUGUCCCAUGCAGAAAAUAAAGAAAAAUGAUCCUAUUA